AUUCGCGAUGUCAUGUGUGUUCUUAAGUCUUCUUCGUUCGAAGGCGUCGGUGACUCCCGACCUUCUUCACGUUUCUGAAACGGAGUGCGUUAUUGUUUGAGAGGGAGAAGGAGAGGAGAUUAUCUUCUCAUAGAAGCGCUCUGCUGAGGAAGGAGAGUGAGAUUUCAGAAUAGGACAGGAGGAUUCGUUAAUUGGAGACUUGAUUAUCAGAGGAGGCAGAGAGAUUGCAGGCAGCUUCUGUGGAGUUUUCAAAUUUGCAGAGAGUCAGAGGGAGGUGAAACAACGAUUUGACAUGGCUAGGAAAGAGCUGAAGUAUCAUCCUGCUGCUAUAAAUAGCUGUAGUACCACAAUCGAAGUUCAUCUACUCAGUUUCUAGGAGGCAGAGCCGCUUACGCAAGCGCCAGCACCGGCUGAGGAAUGUAAAGAGAGGCGGUGAGCUGACAUGCUCCUCCACUAAGCGCCUCUUAUGCAUGCCACCAUCGACGUCCACCGUUUGAAUACCUUCGAACACCUUUUCAAGACUGGUUCGAUGUACGCGGUGAACGGUUGACGCGGAGAAACCUUAACUUCAAAUUGUCCAACUCUCCUUUGUCAAUAUGUUUCAGUGACUUAACCGCCUUCGCCAAAAUAACAGAACCGGUGAACCUGAUACCUCAAGUCAAGAGCUGUUCCAGUUCCGCAAUUCCGAACAGCUGCUAGGCUUGGCAAACACCAACACAUCUUCCAGACACUAUAGGUGAAUUAACCGCUAUUAGGGAUACUGUUGAUGACUCCUUACAAGGCAAAGAAUCUUAAAUGGCGGCCCUGGAGAUGAUGUGCCCGGAGUUAGCACCUUCCAGCCAUGAUCAAUGUCAUGGUGAUGACAAUGAGAAAGAUCCAGCUAUUGAAACAAUCUAAGGUGGUCUGUCAGCCACAAACUCUCUGUUCUCUACGUCUUCCAAGGAAAAUAAGAAGGCACACAUUGCAUAGUUGGAGGAGGAUGCAGUUUCUUAAUCACAGACUCACAGAAGCAGCUACUAAAAUAUUGCUUAAGCAUAGUUUUUAGUUUUUUUGUUUUUUGUAAAACUUCAUCUGCUGUUGAUAGUUACCCUUAAACUAUAAAGACUAUUGUAUUUGGAUUUCCUCAUAUUUACCCAUAUAUCAAUGAGGAAAUAAUGGUGCUACAAGCAAAUCUCAUUGACGAAUAUUACAACUUA